GGAAUAUUGGUCAAUGGGUGAGAGCCUGAACCAGCCAUGCCGCGUGCAGGAAGACUGCCUUCUGGGUUGUAAACUGCUUUUACCGGGGGAUAAAAUUCCCAUGCGUGGGACAUUGAAGGUACCCGGUGAAUAAGCCACGGCUAACUACGUGCCAGCAGCCGCGGUAAUACGUAGGUGGCGAGCGUUGUCCGGAUUUAUUGGGUUUAAAGGGUGCGUAGGCGGUCUUAUAAGUCAGUGCUGAAAUAUCCCGGCUUAACCGGGAGGGUGGCAUUGAUACUGUAGGACUUGAGUAAAGUUGAGGUAGGCGGAAUUGACGGUGUAGCGGUGAAAUGCUUAGAUAUCGUCAAGAACACCGAUAGUGUAGACAGCUUACUAAGCUUUAACUGACGCUGAGGCACGAAAGUGUGGGGAUCAAACAGGA
rnacentral:misc_RNA from 1 species